AAGCCUCCUGGUAUUGUUUGGCACGGAGCUUCUCCUGGAGAUGGCACUUCAACACGGCGUUCUCUGGGCAGCACUUUUCGAUGACCCCGAUGAGCAGCACGUUGUUCUUCAUGCUCCUCGUUUCUCUCGAUUUUAGCCUCUCUUUGCACGCGGGGCACUUCGACGGCAGGUAGGCGGCCGCACACCUCCGACAGAAAGUGUGACCGCAGGUCAUGCUCACCGGCUCCCACAUCAGGAAGCGGCAGAGCGGGCACUCCAGCAGCUCCAUGGCGGCGAGGGUUAGUAAAAAAAAAUACUAUUCUCCUUUAAAAAAAAAAAAUUAAAAAAGGAGAAAGCAAAAGACUUUACCGCUCGGUUGCGUGUCAUUUACUACACGGACGCGUAACUUAUCUCGGCUGGACGCGUUGUCUUUUCCUGCCGAUUACAUGCAUGCUGAGUCCGCUCCGUCCCAAAUAAUACAACAUUACUCGCUAACGACUCCCUCCAGUCUCUGAUAUAUUCGUGUAACGCGCUCUUUGUCAGCAGGUAACCUCAGAAUAGCUUGAAGGUAGCGCACACAAGCACAAUGCCGCCAGGUUACUGUGUUACACCAUUGCAUAACAUAAAUAAAGACCACGUGACGCAACGGCGAACGGUGAUUGGCUGAGAGGCGUGUUGUGAAACACAAAGAUUUCGAGUUUCAUAACAUAAUUCUGGACGUAAUUUCUUGACUGAGGAAUGAGAAUUUAAAACAUACCCACUGAGAUGGUGCGCAUUUGUCAUUUGUGGCAAAUGCAGAUUUUUUGUCACCGAAAAUCGACGUCGUGGAGGGACUCCCAGGGGGCGCUGGUGCCUAUCCCAGCGACAAUCUGACGGAAGGCGGUGUACACCCUGGACAAGUCGCUGUCUCAUCACAGGGCCAACACAGAUAGACAGACAACAUUCAUACUCACAUUCACACACUAGGGCCAAUUUAGUGUUGCCAAUCAACCUAUCCCCAAGUGCAUGUCUUUGGAGGUGGGAGGAAGCCGGAGUACCCAGAGGGAACCCAUCCAUGCAUUCACGUGGAGAACAUGCAAACUCCACACAGAAAGAUCCAGAGCCCGGGAUUGAACCCAGGACUACUCAGGACCUUCGUAUUGUGAGGCAGACGCACUAACCCCUCUCCCACCGUGAAGCCCCUCCAUUGUAUCCGAUGUAAUCAAUCAAUCAAUGUUUAUAUAUCCAUCCACUCAUCUUCUUCCGCUUAUCCGAGGUCGGGUGGCGGGGGCAGCAGCCUAAGCAGGGAGAUAACACCUGUAAAUGACUGUCUUAGAAUGGCCAAAGGUAUAGAUGUGUGUGUCCAAGUUUAAGGAAACAGCAGGUUCUCUUUUUGUAAUGGAUUUAUUAAAAUGUUUGCAAGCUGGGUAA